rnacentral:rRNA from 1 species
UACGUAGGGGGCUAGCGUUGUCCGGAUUUAUUGGGCGUAAAGAGCGUGUAGGCGGCCAGGUAGGUCUGCUGUGAAAACUCGAGGCUUAACCUCGAGAUGUCGGCGGAAACCAUCUGGCUAGAGUCCGGAAGAGGUGAGUGGAAUUCCUAGUGUAGAGGUGGAAUUCGUAGAUAUUAGGAAGAACACCAGUGGCGAAGGCGGCUCACUGGUCCGGUACUGACGCUGAGGUGCGAAAGCGUGGGGAGCAAACAGG